rnacentral:rRNA from 1 species
ACGAGCGCUGGCGGCGUGCCUAAUACAUGCAAGUCGAGCGGGGAUUAUGCUUGAUCGCUUCGGUGAGACGGCAUAUAUCCUAGCGGCGGACGGGUGAGUAACGCGUGGGUAAUCUACCUCGUAGUUCGGGAUAACAGGCCGAAAGGCUUGCUAAUACCGGAUGAGUUCAUGCUUAUGCAUAUAGGCAUGAAGAAAGGGCUAGCCCGCUAUGAGAUGAGCCCGCGUCCCAUUAGCUAGUUGGUGAGGUAAGGGCUCACCAAGGCGAAGAUGGUUAGGGGUUUUGAGAGAGAGACCCCCCACAUUGGAACUGAGAGACGGUCCAGACUCCUACGGGAGGCAGCAGUAGGGAAUAUUGGGCAAUGGGCGAAAGCCUGACCCAGCCAUGCCGCGUGAAGGAAGACGGCCUUAUGGGUUGUAAACUUCUUUACUACGCGAAUAGAGGUUAGUACGAGAUACUAAUAGGAAGGUAGUGUAGUAAAAAGCACCGGCUAACUCCGUG